GGUCUUCCUGAUGAGCUUAAAAGCUGGAGGAGUCGCGCUGAAUCUCACUGUAGCAUCUCAUGUGUUCCUGAUGGACCCUUGGUGGAAUCCAGCGGUCGAGAACCAAGCGCAGGACCGUAUCCACCGAAUUGGGCAGUUCAAGCCAAUCAAGAGCACUAGGUUUGUGAUAAAGGACACGGUUGAAGAGCGCAUACUGCAACUGCAACAGAAGAAGCAGCUGGUGUUUAAAGG